CCAUAUCACAUCAUAUUUGCCGUGGCCACUUUUUGUCACCGUUCAUUUACGACACAGAGAGCACUGUUUGAAUAGCUGUAUUAGCUGGUCUUCACUAUGUCGCGAUAACGGGCAUCACCUGGUCACCGGAUGCCCGAUAUUUGGCUUUAUCUUCACAACAUGGUUUCUGGUCUUAGAUGGAAUUUGAAAAUGACGAACGUGGAACACCUCUCUCUUUAUCAGAUGGAACGUCUUCAAGACAAGUAUAUUACAAGUCUGCUGCAGACAGCCUGUGCCA